rnacentral:tRNA from 1 species
UGUUUUAUUAGUAUAUCGAGUAUUUUUAACUUCCAAUUAAAAGGAUUAUAAAUUAAAUAAAACAA